UUUUAUUAACCUCAGCCGAAAAGUACGUUUAGCAAUUUGCCCGGCGGACGAAAACUCUGCCGAAGGAAACAUUCCGCGCCGUGCGUCCCGGGGCCACCCCAAAUACAUCGCUUCCCUGAUAAUGAUCCAUUAAUCCAAAUUGAUUCCGUGUUUAGUGGCACAGCACGGGGCUAAACGCAUCUCCCCGACUGCGCAUCGGCAUCCAUCUCCAGUUAUCCACCGCCGCGCUCGCUUGCACAACACCAGCGCCGCCAGCGCAACCUCCCUCGCGCCGCUCACCCCCGUCCCUCGCUUGUCCGGCUAUCCUGUGGCGCACGGCGACCGUCGGCGGCCCGCCCGUCCGCCUCACCGUCGGCGGCCGUCCGACCGUCUCUCCUGUGGCGCUCGGCGCCUGUCCCUGGCCCGUCCCCCACACAGCCGAUGGCGACUCCGCCGUCCUCCACACGGCCGUCAACAAAGACUACACGACGCCGCGACAACGUAGAAGCUCCUCCCUUAGCAGAUGCGUUCUUCCUCUGCGCCACCUGUGGAACAGUUCGUGCGCCCAGUGCCACCGAUUCGAUGGUCUGCAGGUAAGAACUGCUUCCUUGAGUGACUUUCGGUCCGUCCUACAACGAGGUUCUUGUUUCCUACUACUGCGUCUUGUGCAGAUCCACAAUGUUGAGGUUGCAAAACUUGCAGAUGUUUGAUCUAAGAUGCCCGACUGUACUACAUGUACAUGGAAGAAGAAAGCUCAAUGAACCGAAGCUGGGGAAAAGGAAUAACCAAGGAGGGGAGGGGAGGUCACAUCCUUGAAGCCAACGGCAAAUUAAGGCAUCACCUUGAAUUUGUAACUCCAGUAACUAAAUGGAGAUCCUUUUUUAGGUCGAACUUGUGAUCCUUCUUAUUACUGAAACCAAGUAUCAAUCUGAGAAUGAUUGUUCUCUUAUUGUGGUCUGACAAGACUUAAAUGUUGGUAUAACCUGAACAGUGUCUUAUUGCAUUAGUUUUUUUUAUAUCUGCAGAGUGUGCACAUGAGUUUCUUCCCUGUAUUUACUUAUUAACGAAACAUAAACAUCAAUGCAUGUUAUCUUC
rnacentral:lncRNA from 1 species